rnacentral:rRNA from 1 species
GAUAAACGCUGGCGGCGUGCCUUAUGCAUGCAAGUCGAACGCUCUACCGCAAGGUAGGGAGUGGCAAACGGGUGUGUAAUACGUAAGUAACCUGCCCUCAAGUGGGGAACAACUCUGAGAAAUCGGGGCUAAUACCGCGUGUGAUUGUUGACCGCAAGGAAGAUAAUUAAAGCCUUCGGGCGCUUGAGGAGGGGCUUGCGUCCUAUCAGGUAGUUGGUGGGGUAACGGCUCACCAAGCCAAUGACGGGUAGCUGGUCUGAGAGGAUGGUCAGCCACACUGGGACUGCGACACGGCCCAGACUCCUACGGGAGGCAGCGGCAAGGAAUAUUGUGCAAUGGGCGAAAGCCUGACACAGCGACGCCGCGUGAGGGAUGAAGGCCUUCGGGUUGUAAACCUCUUUUCUCAGGGAGGAGUAAGGACAGUACCUGAGGAAUAAGCCACGGCUAACUACGUGCCAGCCGCCGCAGUAAUAC